rnacentral:rRNA from 1 species
AUUGAACGCUGGCGGCAGGCCUAACACAUGCAAGUCGAGCGGAGCGGCGGACGGGUGAGUAAUGCCUAGGAAUCUGCCUGGUAGUGGGGGAUAACGUCCGGAAACGGGCGCUAAUACCGCAUACUAUCAGAUGAGCCUAGGUCGGAUUAUCUAGUUGGUGGGGUAAAGGCCUACAAAGGCGACGAUCCGUAACUGGUCUGAGAGGAUGAUCAGUCACAAUGGAACUGAGACACGGUCCAGACUCCUACGGGAGGGAGGAGGGGGGAAUUUUGGACAAUGGGGGCAACCCUUAUCCAGCCAUGCCGCGUGUAUGAAGAAGGCCUUCGGGUUGUAAAGUACUUUUGUUAGGGAAGGGGUACCUAAAGAAUAAGCACCGGCUAACUCCGUGCCAGCAGCCGCGGUAAUC